AGCUCCAAUAGCAUAUAUUAAAGUUGUUGCAGUUAAAAAGCUCGUAGUUGGAUUUCAGGUGCAGGCUGGCUGUCCGCCUUACGGUGGUUCACUGCCACGUUUCCUGCUCCUUACCUCCCGGUUUGAAAGUUCUCUGAACUUGUCCCUGUAGUGCUCUUUACUGAGUCGCUCGGGGUGGCCGGAACGUUUACUUUGAAAAAAUUAGAGUGUUCAAAGCAGGCGCAUCGCCUGAAUACUGUUGCAUGGAAUAAUAGAAUAGGACCUCGGUUCUAUUUUGUUGGUUUUUGGAAAUCGAGGUAAUGAUUAAUAGGGACAGACGGGGGCAUUUGUAUUGCAACGUGAGAGGUGAAAUUCUUGGAUCGUUGCAAGACAAACUACAGCGAAAGCAUUUGCCAAGAAUGUCUUCA
rnacentral:rRNA from 1 species